rnacentral:misc_RNA from 1 species
AACUUGUAUGCAGUCACGUGAAAUAUGGAGUGGUGUCACCUAUGCUGUCGCAGCUACCAUGAUUCAUGCUGGAAUGGAGGACCAGGCAUUCACUACUGCUGAAGGUAUUUUCCUUGCAGGCUGGUCGGAGGAGGGCUACGGAUACUGGUUCCAGACACCAGAGGCAUGGACAACUGAUGGACACUUCCGUUCCCUUAUUUACAUGAGGCCACUUGCAAUCUGGGGUAUGCAAUGGGCAUUAUCGCUGCCUAAGGCUAUCCUUGAGGCCCCAAAGAUCAAUAUAAUGGACAGACUUCUCUUGUCUCCUAGCACAAGAUUUGCUCUUUAUGAAACAGGAGUUAGAAAGAUUGCAACUAAAGCCAAGUGCUUUGGAGCUUCUGUGUUCCACUGUGCGUGCUAAUUAUGAAAUAUAAGUUCCCUCAUCUCUUUAAAGAAAAAUGUUCACUGAAUUUUUUAUAGCUUCCCAAACUCUCUACCAUAUGAAGAAAGCUGGGAGAGAUUCUGGGAGAAGUCUCUUUCUUAAGAGGGGCAAUAAAAAGCCAGGCUGUAAUUUAGUAGUCAAUUUAAUUACAUGGCAUUGAUGGG